rnacentral:rRNA from 1 species
GGGAGGAAUAUUGGGUCAAAUGGGGGCGAGAGCCUGAACCAGCCAAGUAGCGUGCAGGAUGACGGCCCUAUGGGUUGUAAACUGCUUUUAUAAGGGAAUAAAGUGAGAGUCGUGACUCUUUUUGUAUGUACCUUAUGAAUAAGGACCGGCUAAUUCCGUGCCAGCAGCCGCGGUAAUACGGAAGGUCCGGGCGUUAUCCGGAUUUAUUGGGUUUAAAGGGAGCGUAGGCCGGAGAUUAAGCGUGUUGUGAAAUGUAGACGCUCAACGUCUGCACUGCAGCGCGAACUGGUUUCCUUGAGUACGCACAAAGUGGGCGGAAUUCGUGGUGUAGCGGUGAAAUGCUUAGACAUGGCGAAGAACUCCGAUUGCGAAGGCAGCUCACGGGAGCGCAACUGAC